AGGGAAAAGAGAAAAAAAUAAGAUAGGAGACCUGGAAUUAUGGAUGGAGAAGAGUCCCUGAGACACCAGUGACAAGUUUCAGAGUUCACAUAAAAGGAACAAUGCCACACAACCAAAGAAGUCUAUUAGCUUUUUUGCUACAAUGAAAGCAACUUCAGUGAAAGGAUAUACUGGUGCAAAUCAAAGCAGAAUGGCUGUGUCCAAAACCGUGCUUAUUCCACCUGAACUGAAAACUGUAGAAAAACCAAAUCCCAAUAUAAAGACAACACAGGUAAUAUUCUUAGAAUUCUGAGUUUAUUUGAAAAUGGCACUGUGAAAAACUCAAUUGAAAUGUUAAAGAUAGAAAAUAUGCUGCUUUCAGAUAAUCACUCAUAAUUUUGAAAUACUGAUUUUGUUAAUUUUUACCACAUAUUAUUCCAUACAACAUAAUAUUGACACUUGGCUCCUAUAACUAGUUAUUGAUAAGAAGAAUAUUAGAGUGGAAUGAGAAAAGUCUAUUCAUGACCUUAAGAACUAUUUGCUUAUGGUAUUAAUUAUAUACAUUACAACUAUCUUUCACUGUUGUCAGCAAUAUAGUCUUGAAAAUACAAUAAAAUUAUUUGUCAUAAAGUCA
rnacentral:lncRNA from 1 species